GAAGCGACCAUUGAGGUAAAAAGUUUUGGAGUUUGAGUUUACGGGGUUUUUCUUUUUCCCGUGAUUAGAUAGCAUACCUAGAUGUUGAUUUGGUUAUUUGAUGGAUGCUACAUUUCGUUUGCUAAAUAGCACCAUUUUCAGCUCUUCAUUUUCUUGAAGGAUGCACCCUUUGAUUUCACUCAAUUAUAUCUUUAACACCAUGAUGUGGGCAUUUUAUGUGUCCAAUGUUUGAAAUAUCAUUCUUAGUCCCUCAACUAAAAGCUUGACUAGUUCCAUAACAUAGUUUUAGAACCUGUCUGGCUAAAAAUUCCAAGGCAGAAUGCUUAAUUUCUCCUCUUAUUAAUUCAAUUUCAACAUAUGCUAAGUAGUCCUAUGCUUGUCCAUGCUUCAACCCCAACGGACUUUACAUGAAGGUGCGUGU
rnacentral:misc_RNA from 1 species